AAGAAUAAUCAAUAUUGGCAUGUCUAUUACUGUUACGACAACUAUUCAUGUUAUGGAAAAGAUAUGGACUUCCUACAGCUCAUCAUGAAGUAUGCAUUCAUAUACUUAUUUGGUUGUUGAGUAAUUCUUUAACUACCUACCCAUUAUUAUUUAAUGCCACCAAUCAACCUAAAUUAUCCCUUAAACAUUAUUUAUUCAUGCCUACUAAAAGGACAUAACAGUAAAAUACAUAUUACCUAAUCUUAGAAUUGUUGAGAACAAUUCAUGGCAUUUUUCAAUUGGUCCGAAUUUUAUUAUGUCCUUUAUAUCAAUUUUCCCUCUCUUUUCACCCCAUUUAAUUUUUUUUUCUUUAUCAAAAAAGUUUCUCUUUUUCCCUCACUCUCUCUUUUCUCGUCUCCCUGUUUCUCUUUCUUCUUCCUCAUUCAUUUUCUUCUCCUUUCAUCACUUUCCAUUUCUCUUUCUCCCCUUUCAACCAAGUUCUUCUUCCUUUUACAAAGCAACCAUCUCCUUCUUUUCUUUUGUGUUCAUAUUUCAACACGAAAAAUAAAGUAAUGGGCAUGGAAACAAGAUGAAAAAGGUGUACUUUGAUAAUAAAUUUUUGAUUUUUUUUAUCCAACAAUGCCUUUCUUUUUCCCUUAAAUUGAUUAGCUGAUUUGGUAUUGUUUCUGGUUUUGAUUCAAAGUAUAGAACUUUAUGUUAUUGUUAAGUGUAAAAUCUGAUUUUACCUUAUAUGUAUGAAAGUUGAAUACUUUGGAACUUUUUUAUGGUUGUUGGUUUUUGUAGGUGGUAAAGAUGUCUAGAGACCGAAGGCGUCGUGUUUAUUGAUUUUGUUCUUGAUGAUGUUUGGAAAGAAGUUGAAAACAGUAAUUGCUUGCAGGAUAUGGUUUUCAAACUUUUGCUAAUAAUUUUAGAGUUUUGUUGGUUUUUGAAAUUGAUGGGUAUGCUAGUGCCCUUUUGAAAUUUUGAAAUGUGUUUUAAAAAUAAAGUGAAAUUAUACUUGAAAUUGUGUGUAAUUUUGAAGUUGGAUCUAGCCUUUAAUGUCAUGUUGUUUAUUGGAAAUUGAUUUAUUCGUGUCCUUUUGAUGUGUUUUCAUCAACAACAAUUUGAUGUAACCAUUUCACUUGCUCUAACUGAUCGCGACUUUAU
rnacentral:lncRNA from 1 species